rnacentral:rRNA from 1 species
AUUGAACGCUGGCGGCAGGCCUAACACAUGCAAGUCGAACGGUAGCACAGAGAGCUUGCUCUCGGGUGACAAGUGGCGGACGGGCGAGUAAUGUCUGGGAAACUGCCCGGUGGAGGGGGAUAACUACUGGAAACGGUAGCUAAUACCGCAUAACGUCGCAAGACCAAAGUGGGGGACCUUCGGGCCUCACACCAUCGGAUGUGCCCAGAUGGGAUUAGCUAGUAGGUGGGGUAAUGGCUCACCUAGGCGACGAUCCCUAGCUGGUCUGAGAGGAUGACCAGCCACACUGGAACUGAGACACGGUCCAGACUCCUACGGGAGGCAGCAGUGGGGAAUAUUGCACAAUGGGCGCAAGCCUGAUGCAGCCAUGCCGCGUGUAUGAAGAAGGCCUUCGGGUUGUAAAGUACUUUCAGCAGGGAGGAAGGCGGUGAAGUUAAUAACUUCACCGAUUGACGUUACCCGCAGAAGAAGCACCGGCUAACUCCGUGCCAGCCGCCGCAGUAA